rnacentral:rRNA from 1 species
UACGUAGGGUGCAAGCGUUAAUCGGAAUUACUGGGCGUAAAGCGUGCGCAGGCGGUUCUGUAAGACCGGUGUGAAAUCCCAGGGCUUAACCUUGGAACUGCAUUUGUGACUGCAUAGCUAGAGUACGGUAGAGGGGGAUGGAAUUCCGCGUGUAGCAGUGAAAUGCGUAGAUAUGCGGAGGAACACCGAUGGCGAAGGCAAUUCCCUGGACCUGUACUGACGCUCAUGCACGAAAGCGUGGGGAGCAAACAGG